rnacentral:misc_RNA from 1 species
GCAGCUUGUGGUUGAUGUUGAUUAAGAAAGUACUGAUGUUGAUGAUUGAAUCCGGUAAGCUCCCUUGUAGUUUUUGGACCUGGAUCACCUGUAACAGACCCAACCCCACCCGGAGGUUGUGCUGGUGGUGGUGCGCCGCAGCUGAAAUUGCUUUCAUGGAAAACUAGCUGUGAAUUAAGCCCAUUCUCCACCCUUCGAGCUGAAACAAGUCCCAUUUCUUCAGAAGCCAUAAGCGAUGCUGAAUGAAGAAAAAAAAACCUAAAAACUGAACCAAAAAGACGCUAAUUUCUGAGAAUUUGAAGAA